rnacentral:misc_RNA from 1 species
UGGUUGGUAUAGAAGGUACACUGAAAAGAGCAUUUCUUUAAAAUCAGUACAAGAGAAGUUAUGCCUUUAAACAUAGAAAGAUAAUAGCACCAGAAGCAAUACUUCUUCAACAUAACUAGCUAUCAACAGAUGUUCAACGUCAAAGCACAAUCAUUUACUAGGGACAAUCCAAAAAAUAAAACCUGCACUCCAAGAUUCCAGUGUUACUAAUAAUCAUGACAUACAUAUUUAUUUUGGAUACAGCUUAUCAUAUGCAAAAUCUGAAAUACAUCAUGACCAAAGAUUUUUGUCAUAAUAUAGGAAAGACAUUGCAGAUGUCACUUGCGGUUCCAGAUAAUUGAAAUGAUCCAAGUUUCAUUUCAAGGCUCCAAGUUUCAUUUCAAGGCUCCAUUUUUUACGCAGGAAAGAAAAAAAAAAUCAUUUUACAGUGUUUGGGCACUUUAAGAACAUUGACUAGAAAAAGAUGUUUUUUGGGUCAAAGAAUAGAAAGUCAAUUUCUGGGCCUCAUAAAUCAUAAAAAGGAAAGGAACCACAUAGGCAUAUACCCAUUAAAAUACCUACUACUGCCAAUCACUUCCGGCCAUCACUAGCCACUGAUUACUAUCAUCAGUCACCAGCAACAACCACUAUUUAUCUUGUGUAUUUUUUCCUCAUUUAAAAAUUUCAAACUAUAACUGGAAAAUUGUCUUUUGAAGCUCCAUACAUUUUCAAUCUCUUUUAUUGUAAGAAAAUUAAUAUACUCCAAUGUAUUCCAAAUUGAUAUUCAGUAUUGCAUCCAACAAAAGAAACAAGUCAUUCUCUUAGAAAAUGUUUUCCUUGAAAAAAUAUGUUUUAA